rnacentral:rRNA from 1 species
GAUGAACGCUGGCGGCGUGCUUAACACAUGCAGGUCGAACGGUGAAGGCGGAGCUUGCUCUGCUGGAUCAGUGGCGAACGGGUGAGUAACACGUGAGCAAUCUGCCCCUGACUCUGGGAUAAGCGCUGGAAACGGCGUCUAAUACUGGAUACGAGCUGCGAAGGCAUCUUCAGCAGCUGGAAAGAACUUCGGUCAGGAAUGAGCUCGCGGCCUAUCAGCUUGUUGGUGAGGUAACGGCUCACCAAGGCGUCGACGGGUAGCCGGCCUGAGAGGGUGACCGGCCACACUGGGACUGAGACACGGCCCAGACUCCUACGGGAGGCAGCAGUGGGGAAUAUUGCACAAUGGGCGAAAGCCUGAUGCAGCAACGCCGCGUGAGGGACGACGGCCUUCGGGUUGUAAACCUCUUUUAGCAGGGAAGAAGCGAAAGUGACGGUACCUGCAGAAAAAGCGCCGGCUAACUACGUG